rnacentral:misc_RNA from 1 species
GGACUUGCGACAGUGAAAUUUAUUCAGAUGUACAUGAUCAUCUCAUGCUUCAGCCACUCGCAUACAAGACCUACAAAUGUGUGUGUGCAUAUUUUCAAAGAAUCUCAACCUAUAAUAUAGAUUGAACUGAAUCAGAAGCACCAGAAAGGAAUGUUAUACAUAGAGGGAAUUUUGUCACUUUAUUCGCUCAACUGAUUUGCCUCAACAGAGAGGUAAAAACUCAAUUUCGUCAAAUCCGCAAACAUACCUCUCUACGACCAUUUCAAUCUUAACCAAUAUCAUCCUAAAUACACCAUCUUGUUCUCUUGCUUUUAUCGACAAUGCUGUUUAUUCACUCCUCUCUCAUCUAUCACAAGGGAACUUCGAGUCCUUCUCCGUCACUUUAAAGUGCUGGGGCUUCUGCCCCGAACAAUGGAUAUUCCACAUUUUGAAAUAUGCC